CAAGGUAUGUAUACGUUGUUUGAGUGCUCGGCUACGGUAAGCUCGGUGACAAGGCAUAAGUCGUAACAAGGCAUCGCUAGCGGAAGCUGGUGAUGGAUCAUCUCCUUU
rnacentral:rRNA from 1 species